UGGGGCUGUGCACAAUCAUAAACACAAGUGUGUCAUCACACAAUUAUAUUACUUCCCCUGCAAGUCUCAGGGAACACAGAAGUGUGGAGGGAACAGAGACUGUACGAGCUGGGGAAGGGGUAGAGACCUGUGGAACUGUCAUUUCCCAAUCGAAGCUUUCCAUACAGGAUGGAGAAGAGAUGCUCCUAAGGCUCAAGAAGGUAACAAAAUGUGCAAGGCUUAAGACGUUCAUAAAUUACAAGAUACUCAAGGAACCUCCACCCCAACUUUAUUAAGGCAGUACGCCUUACCUGCUAGAGACCUUUCCAGUUGGCCCGCCCAUAGCUUGUGCAGCAAUCUCCAGACUCACAGAUUUUAUGGGUUGUCACCAAUGCAGGAGUGGCUGCUCUGAGAUAGCUGUUUUUAUGUCACCCACACACCUCUAAGCAACCCCUUAAACAAUCUCCUGUAAGUAACCCAAAUGAACCUGCUUAGUCACUGAUCCAGCCUCAGAUAUAGUCUUUUUUUUUGUCUGUCACAAGUACCUUUCCUGGCCUAGUGUAACUAGACAUUUGUUCAUAUCUUCCAGGAAAACUCAGGUGCCACUUUGAAAUUCCCAGAACACAGAUAGCUAGGAUCAGGUGAAACAAUUCUUGGAUCAUCAUGCAGGGGGUUGAUAAUUAACCAUAACCUGUGGCGCCAACAUUUCUGAAGACUUUACCACCCCAUUAGACAAAACAAAGAGCUUCAGGAACGUGUGGAUGAUUGACAUGAACAUCAUUUGCUUAUGGGGGACACAGCCAGACAAACUCACCGUCCUCUGUCCUCAAGGCCAGGCAGGAACCGGGAAAUGAUCUUGUGGUAUUUGAAGUGUCCUGACUCAUCUUAGGCUCCAGGGUAAAUGCAGGGAUGAAAAUCACAUUUUCAGAACCCUUGACAGUCUGAGGAUUUCUCUCCCUUUGCCUGCAUGUUUGUGGCUGCACUACAUGCAUGCCUGGUCCAAGGAGGCCAGAAGACGGUGCUGGAUCCUCUGGAAUUGGAACUAACGAUGGUUGUAAGCUGUCCUCUGAGUGCUGGGAAUUGAACCCUGGUCAUUGACAAGAACGACAAUGGUGAAUCACAGCCUUGAUUAGUCUAGCUCAAUCGUCACCAGAGAGGUUUUCUCCAGCAGCUGAUGGGAGCAGAUGCAGAGACCCACAGCCAAACAUUAGAAGGAGCUCAUGGGACCCUACAGAAGAAGAAGAGGAAGGACUGUAGGAGCCAGAGGGGCCAAGGACACCAGGAGAACACAGCCCACAGAAUCAUCUAACCAUGACUCCCAGGGGUUCACAGAGACAGAAGUGUCAAUAACAGAGACUGCCUGGGUCUACUCUAGGACUCUGCAAACAGGCUGUGGUUGUUUAGCUUGGUGUUUUUCUGGGCUCCCAACAGUGGGAGGGGGGUGUGUUCAAUUCUUUUGCCUGCUUGCAGGACACUUUUCUCCACCUGGGUUGUUUCCAGCCUUGAUAUCAGGGUUUCUGCCUAGUCUUACCGUAUCUUGUUAUGCCAUGCUUGGUUGAUAUCCCUGGGAAGCCUG